AUGAGGUUGUUCAAUGGUAAACAACAUGCUAUGGAUUCUAUUUAUGGUAACUGGCAGGAAAGUUUUCAAUUGUUGUAUUCAUUUAAGGGUGAAGUGGAGAGGACAAGCCCAUGUAGUAUUGUAGAUAUUGAUCACCACACCGUGGAGUACACAUUCAGGGGAGUGACAAAGACCAAGGAAUGCUUUAGAAGGGUUUUUGUCUUCUUUGAGGCUUGUCGCCGGGGUUUUUUGGCAGGCUGCAGGCCUUAUUUGGCUAUUGAUGCCACUUUUCUCAUAGGAAGGUUUAAAGGACAGUUAGUAGCAGCUUGUGCAGUUGAUGCACAUAGUUUUGUAUUUCCAGUUGCCUAUGGUGUGCUGGAGACAGAGUCUGAGGAGAGCUGGACUUGGUUUUUGCAUAAUCUCCGCCGGGCUAUUGCACAUCCCAAUGGGUUGGUCAUUCAUACAGAUGCCUGCAAAGGUUUAGAAGUGGCCGUGGACAAUGUGUUCCCUGGAGUAGAGCAUAGGGAAUGCAUGCGUCACCUUGCUGCAAAUUUCAUGAAGAAAUUCAAAGGAAAGGUGUAUACCAACAAUUUAUGGCCAGCAUCUUUGACAUGCAGUGUGAAGAAGCACAACUACCACUUGAGGCAGUUAUACAUGAAUCCCAAAGUGAAAGAAUACUUGGAAACACACCACUCCAAGUUAUGGGCCAGAAGCCAAUUCAGUGAAGUGAGCAAAGUUGACUAUGUGCACAGUAAUCUAGCAGAGUCUUUCAACUCAACGAUCCGGAAA
rnacentral:rRNA from 1 species